rnacentral:rRNA from 1 species
CUUGACAUCCUCUGACAAUCCUAGAGAUAGGACGUCCCCUUCGGGGGCAGAGUGACAGGUGGUGCAUGGUUGUCGUCAGCUCGUGUCGUGAGAUGUUGGGUUAAGUCCCGCAACGAGCGCAACCCUUGAUCUUAGUUGCCAGCAUUCAGUUGGGCACUCUAAGGUGACUGCCGGUGACAAACCGGAGGAAGGUGGGGAUGACGUCAAAUCAUCAUGCCCCUUAUGACCUGGGCUACACACGUGCUACAAUGGGCAGAACAAAGGGCAGCGAAACCGUGAGGUUAAGCCAAUCCCACAAAUCUGUUCUCAGUUCGGAUCGCAGUCUGCAACUCGACUGCGUGAAGCUGG